GGGAUUACCUCAGUAACGGCGAGUGAAGCGGUAACAGCUCAAAUUUGAAAUCUGCCGCAAGGCCGAGUUGUAAUUUGUAGAAGAUGCUUUGGGUAUGGCCCCGGUCUAAGUUCGUUGGAACACGACGUCAUAGAGGGUGAGAAUCCCGUAUGUGACUGGGUGCUUUUGCCUAUGUAAAGCUCUUUCGACGAGUCGAGUUGUUUGGGAAUGCAGCUCAAAAUGGGUGGUAUAUUUCAUCUAAAGCUAAAUAUUGGCCAGAGACCGAUAGCGCACAAGUAGAGUGAUCGAAAGAUGAAAAGCACUUUGGAAAGAGAGUUAAACAGUACGUGAAAUUGUUGAAAGGGAAGCGCUUGCAACCAGACUUGCACGUUGUUGAUCAUCCAGGCUUCUGUUUGGUGCACUCAACUGCGUUCAGGCCAGCAUCGGUUUUGGUGGUGGGAUAAAGGCCUUGGGAAUGUAGCUUCUUUCGGGGAGUGUUAUAGCCCUCGGUGCAAUGCCGCCUACCGGGACCGAGGACCGCGCUUCGGCUAGGAUGCUGGCGUAAUGGUUGUAAGCGACCCGUCUUGAAACACGGACCAAGGAGUCUAACAUCUAUGCGAGUGUUUGGGUGUCAAACCCAUACGCGUAAUUAACGUGAACGGAGGUGAGAACCCUUAAGGGUGCAUCAUCCACCGAUCCUGAUGUCUUCGGAUGGAUUUGAGUAAGAGCAUAGCUGUUGGGACCCGAAAGAUGGUGAACUAUGCCUGAAUAGGGUGAAGCCAGAGGAAACUCUGGUGGA
rnacentral:rRNA from 1 species